rnacentral:rRNA from 1 species
AUUGAACGCUGGCGGCAUGCCUUACACAUGCAAGUCGAACGGUAACAGGUCUUCGGAUGCUGACGAGUGGCGAACGGGUGAGUAAUACAUCGGAACGUGCCUAGUAGUGGGGGAUAACUACUCGAAAGAGUGGCUAAUACCGCAUGAGAUCUACGGAUGAAAGCAGGGGAUCGCAAGACCUUGUGCUACUAGAGCGGCCGGUGGCAGAUUAGGUAGUGGGUGGGGUAAAGGCUUACCAAGCCGACGAUCUGUAGCUGGGCUGAGAGGACGAUCAGCCACACUGGGACUGAGACACGGCCCAGACUCCUACGGGAGGCAGCAGUGGGGAAUUUUGGACAAUGGGCGCAAGCCUGAUCCAGCAAUGCCGCGUGCAGGAUGAAGGCCUUCGGGUUGUAAACUGCUUUUGUACGGAACGAAAAGCCCUGGGUUAAUACCCUGGGGUCAUGACGGUACCGUAAGAAUAAGCACCGGCUAACUACGUGCCAGCCGCCGCAGUAACAC